rnacentral:rRNA from 1 species
AGCGUAGGCGGUUGGGUAAGCCCUCCGUGAAAUCUCCGGGCCUAACCCGGAAAGUGCGGAGGGGACUGCUCGGCUAGAGGAUGGGAGAGGAGCGCGGAAUUCCCGGUGUAGCGGUGAAAUGCGUAGAGAUCGGGAGGAAGGCCGGUGGCGAAGGCGGCGCUCUGGAACAUUUCUGACGCUGAGGCUCGAAAGCGUGGGGAGCAAACAGGAUUAGAUACCCUGGUAGUCCACGCCUUAAACGAUGGAUACUAAGUGUCGGCGGGUUACCGCCGGUGCCGCAGCUAACGCAGUAAGUAUCCCGCCUGGGAAGUACGGCCGCAAGGUUGAA